rnacentral:rRNA from 1 species
UCAGUCGACUCCUACGGGGAGGCAGCAGUGAGGAAUAUGGUCAAUGGGCGCAAGCCUGAACCAGCCAUGCCGCGUGCAGGAGACUGCCCUAUGGGUUGUAAACUGCUUUAUACAGGAAGAACACUCGGACGUGUCCGAGCUUGACGGUACUGUAAGAAUAAGGAUCGGCUAACUCCGUGCCAGCAGCCGCGGUAAUACGGAGGAUCCAAGCGUUAUCCGGAAUCAUUGGGUUUAAAGGGUCCGUAGGUGGAUUAGUAAGUCAGAGGUGAAAGCCUGCAGCUCAACUGUAGAACUGCCUUUGAUACUGCUAGUCUUGAGUCAUUAUGAAGUGGUUAGAAUGUGUAGUGUAGCGGUGAAAUGCAUAGAUAUUACACAGAAUACCGAUUGCGAAGGCAGAUCACUAAUAAUGUACUGACACUGAUGGACGAAAGCGUGGGGAGCGAACAGGAUUAGAUACCCUGGUAG